rnacentral:rRNA from 1 species
AACGAACGCUGGCGGCAGGCCUAACACAUGCAAGUCGAACGAAGUCUUCGGACUUAGUGGCGCACGGGUGAGUAACACAUGGGAAUAUACCUUACGCUGGGGGAUAACAUCGGGAAACUGAUGCUAAUACCGCAUACGCCCUUCGGGGGAAAGAUUUAUCGGCGAAAGAUUAGCCCGCGUCCGAUUAGCUAGUUGGUGAGGUAAUGGCUCACCAAGGCUCCGAUCGGUAGCUGGUCUGAGAGGAUGACCAGCCACACUGGGACUGAGACACGGCCCAGACUCCUACGGGAGGCAGCAGUGGGGAAUAUUGGACAAUGGGCGCAAGCCUGAUCCAGCCAUGCCGCGUGAGUGAUGAAGGCCUUAGGGUUGUAAAGCUCUUUCACCCACGACGAUGAUGACGGUAGUGGGAGAAGAAGCCCCGGCUAACUUCGUG